GACGAACGCUGGCGGCGUGCCUAAUACAUGCACCUCGAACGCACUGACGUCGACAGAAGGUGCUUGCACUGGAAGUUGAUUGACGUGAGUGGCGGACGGGUGAGUAACUCGUGGGUAACCUGCCCUUAAGCGGGGGAUAACAUUUGGAAACAGAUGCUAAUACCGCAUAAAAGUUGAGAUCACAUGGUCUUAAUUUGAAAGACGGCCUUUGGCUGUCACUUAAGGAUGGACCCGCGGCGUAUUAGCUAAUUGGUGAGAUAAUAGCCCACCAAGGCGAUGAUACGUAGCCGACCUGAGAGGGUAAUCGGCCACAUUGGGACUGAGACACGGCCCAAACUCCUACGGGAGGCAGCAGUAGGGAAUCUUCCACAAUGGACGAAAGUCUGAUGGAGCAACGCCGCGUGAGUGAAGAAGGUUUUCGGAUCGUAAAACUCUGUUGUUGGAGAAGAACAGGGACUAGAGUAACUGUUAGUCCUUUGACGGUAUCCAACCAGAAAGCCACGGCUAACUACGUGCCAGCAGCCGCGGUAAUACGUAGGUGGCAAGCGUUGUCCGGAUUUAUUGGGCGUAAAGCGAGCGCAGGCGGUUUCUUAAGUCUGAUGUGAAAGCCUUCGGCUUAACCGAAGAAGUGCAUCAGAUACUGGGAAACUUGAGUGCAGAAGAGGAAAGUGGAACUCCAUGUGUAGCGGUGAAAUGCGUAGAUAUAUGGAAGAACACCAGUGGCGAAGGCGGCUUUCUGGUCUGUAACUGACGCUGAGGCUCGAAAGUAUGGGGAGCGAACAGGAUUAGAUACCCUGGUAGUCCAUACCGUAAACGAUGAAUGCUAAGUGUUGGAGGGUUUCCGCCCUUCAGUGCUGCAGCUAACGCAUUAAGCAUUCCGCCUGGGGAGUACGACCGCAAGGUUGAAACUCAGAGGAAUUGACGGGGGCCCGCACAAGCGGUGGAGCAUGUGGUUUAAUUCGAAGCUACGCGAAGAACCUUACCAGGUCUUGACAUCUAGCGCCAAUCCUAGAGAUAGGACGUUCCCUUCGGGGACGCUAAGACAGGUGGUGCAUGGUUGUCGUCAGCUCGUGUCGUGAGAUGUUGGGUUAAGUCCCGCAACGAGCGCAACCCUUAUGAUUAGUUGCCAGCAUUAAAGUGGGCACUCUAAUCAGACUGCCGGUGACAA
rnacentral:rRNA from 1 species